rnacentral:RNase_P_RNA from 1 species
GCAGGCAGGCCGGGUGGCCGCUGCCGCCGGACAUCGUCCGACCGGCAGAGGAAAGUCCGGACUCCGCAGGGCAGUGUGCCGGAUAACGUCCGGGACCGGAGCGUCAAGGCUCCGGGACGGCCAGUGCCACAGAGAAGAUACCGCCCGGCCUCCGUCAGGAGGACGGGUAAGGGUGAAAAGGUGCGGUAAGAGCGCACCGCUCCGGCGGUAACGGCGGAGGCAGGGUAAACCCCACACGGAGCAAGACCAAAUAGGGAGGAAAUCGCGGUUCGGCCCAUUUGUGCCGCGAUGCGUGCCGGCCCGGUGCGCCAGCGUGGGCUUCUCAUGACGGUUCGCCGUCCUGGGGCGGAAACCUUCGGGUAGGUCGCUGGAGCGCGCGCAGUAAUGCGCCGCCAAGAGGAAUGGCCACCCUCGACAGAAUCCGGCUUACAGGCUGUCUGCAAAA